AUUGAACGCUGGCGGCAGGCCUAACACAUGCAAGUCGAACGGUAACAGGAAGCAGCUUGCUGCUUCGCUGACGAGUGGCGGACGGGUGAGUAAUGUCUGGGAAACUGCCUGAUGGAGGGGGAUAACUACUGGAAACGGUAGCUAAUACCGCAUAACGUCGCAAGACCAAAGAGGGGGACCUUAGGGCCUCUUGCCAUCGGAUGUGCCCAGAUGGGAUUAGCUAGUAGGUGGGGUAACGGCUCACCUAGGCGACGAUCCCUAGCUGGUCUGAGAGGAUGACAGGCCGCACUGGAACAGAGACACGGUCGAGACUCCGACGGGAGGCAGCAGUGGGUGUGAUUGCACAAUGGGCGCAAGCCGGAUGGAGCCAUGCGGGGUGGAGGAAGAAGGACUGCGGGUUGGAAAGUACUUUCAGCGGGGAGGAAGGGAGUAAAGCUACUACCUUUGCUCAAUGACGUUACCCGAAGAAGAAGCACCGGCUAACUCCGUG
rnacentral:rRNA from 1 species